CUCAGGAUGAACGCUGGCGGCGUGCCUAAUACAUGCAAGUCGAGCGAACAGACGAGGAGCUUGCUCCUCUGACGUUAGCGGCGGACGGGUGAGUAACACGUGGAUAACCUACCUAUAAGACUGGGAUAACUUCGGGAAACCGGAGCUAAUACCGGAUAAUAUAUUGAACCGCAUGGUUCAAUAGUGAAAGACGGUUUUGCUGUCACUUAUAGAUGGAUCCGCGCCGCAUUAGCUAGUUGGUAAGGUAACGGCUUACCAAGGCAACGAUGCGUAGCCGACCUGAGAGGGUGAUCGGCCACACUGGAACUGAGACACGGUCCAGACUCCUACGGGAGGCAGCAGUAGGGAAUCUUCCGCAAUGGGCGAAAGCCUGACGGAGCAACGCCGCGUGAGUGAUGAAGGUCUUCGGAUCGUAAAACUCUGUUAUUAGGGAAGAACAAAUGUGUAAGUAACUAUGCACGUCUUGACGGUACCUAAUCAGAAAGCCACGGCUAACUACGUGCCAGCAGCCGCGGUAAUACGUAGGUGGCAAGCGUUAUCCGGAAUUAUUGGGCGUAAAGCGCGCGUAGGCGGUUUUUUAAGUCUGAUGUGAAAGCCCACGGCUCAACCGUGGAGGGUCAUUGGAAACUGGAAAACUUGAGUGCAGAAGAGGAAAGUGGAAUUCCAUGUGUAGCGGUG
rnacentral:rRNA from 1 species